rnacentral:rRNA from 1 species
AGUCGUAACAAGGUAUCCGUACGAGAACGUGCGGAUGGAUCACCUCCUUUCUAUGGA